rnacentral:rRNA from 1 species
AGUGAACGCUGGCGGUAGGCCUAACACAUGCAAGUCGAACGGCAGCACAGUGAGAGCUUGCUCUUACGGGUGGCGAGUGGCGGACGGGUGAGGAAUACAUCGGAAUCUACUUUUUCGUGGGGGAUAACGUAGGGAAACUUACGCUAAUACCGCAUACGACCUACGGGUGAAAGCAUGGGAUCUUCGGACCUUGCGCGAUUGAAUGAGCCGAUGUCGGAUUAGCUAGUUGGCGGGGUAAAGGCCCACCAAGGCGACGAUCCGUAGCCGGUCUGAGAGGAUGAUCAGCCACACUGGAAGUGAGACACGGUCCAGACUCCUGCGAGAGGCAGCAGUGGGGAAUAUUGGACAAUGGGCGCAAGCCUGAUCCAGCCAUACCGCGUGGGUGAAGAAGGCCUUCGGGUUGUGAAGCCCUUUUGUUGGGAGAGAAAAGCAGCAGGUUAAUACCCCGCUGUUCUGACGGUACCCAAAGAAUAAGCACCGGCUAACUUCGUG